AGUGAACGCUGGCGGCGUGCCUAAUACAUGCAAGUCGAACGAAGUGGCGCACGGGUGAGUAAUAUAUAGUUAAACUGCCCUUCACAGAGGAACAACAGUUGGAAAAGCCGGCUCAUACCUCAUAGUGUCGGAUGAGACUAUAUCGUAUCAGCUAGUUGGUAAGGUAAUGGCUUACCAAGGCGAUGACGCGUAACUGGUCUUAGAGGAUGAUCAGUCACAUUCGAACGGAGGCACGGUCCAAACUCCUACGGGAGGCAGCAGUAAGGAAUAGUGCGCAAUGGGGGAAACCCAGACGCAGCUACGCCGCGUGGAGGAUGACACUUUUCGGAGCGUAAACUCCUUUUAUCAGGAAAGCGGUACCUGAUGAAUAAGCACCGGCUAACUCCGUGCCAGCAGCCGCGGUAAUAC
rnacentral:rRNA from 1 species